AUUGAACGCUGGCGGCAGGCUUAACACAUGCAAGUCGAGCGGAGAUGAGGUGCUUGCACCUUAUCUUAGCGGCGGACGGGUGAGUAAUGCUUAGGAAUCUGCCUAUUAGUGGGGGACAACAUUCCGAAAGGAAUGCUAAUACCGCAUACGUCCUACGGGAGAAAGCAGGGGAUCUUCGGACCUUGCGCUAAUAGAUGAGCCUAAGUCGGAUUAGCUAGUUGGUGGGGUAAAGGCCUACCAAGGCGACGAUCUGUAGCGGGUCUGGGAGGAUGAACCGCAAAACUGGGACUGGGACACGGCCCAGACGCCUACGGGAGGCAGCAGUGGGGAAUAUUGGACAAUGGGGGGAACCCUGAUCCAGCCAUGCAGCGUGUGUGAAGAAGGCCUUAUGGUUGUAAAGCACUUUAAGCGAGGAGGAGGCUACUGAGACUAAUACUCUUGGAUAGUGGACGUUACUCGCAGAAUAAGCACCGGCUAACUCUGUGCCAGCAGCCGCCGUAAUAC
rnacentral:rRNA from 1 species